AAACUCACUCAAAUUCAUUAGCUUCUUCUUCUCUCUCAAUUCCCUCUCUCACAGUUACAACAUCACCACCAUGAAUCACCUCCCCAACCCAUUCCUGCUGUUGUUUUAAAUCACCACAGCCCCCUCCCUCCUCCUUUUUGGUCUUCCUUGUUGAAAUAAUCAAGAAGGAAGCUUCAGAAGGCCACCGGAGUAGCCUCCUGCCACCACCGAAUCACCCUCCUGCCGGCCAUCACCCACCACCCACUGCAACCUUCAAACACCCACUGUCACCACCCGAGAACUUCAUCCCUAAGCUGUCAUUGCUAUUAAUUUCGAUCCCCAAAAGCUUCUUCACAAUUCCUUCAUCAAAAUAUUGUUGAAAGAAGGAAGAACGAAGGCAGCAGCACCGAACUACCACCUCCGUCAGCCCCCGUCGCAGCUCACAGCCACCACCAGCACCGCCGGUUUCUGCUGCUGCUCCACCUUUGAAAUUGGAUUUAUCCCGGAAAUCACGACCUCACGGCAACACAUCUCGACUUUCAGAACUAAUCGUUAACCACUCGAUAAGGAAAUCAGUGAAAUUUCAGGCACACUCAGACGAUGGAAAACAUGGCUCGCAAGUACUUUAAUUUUAUACUUUUGAACUAUUAUGCCUAACUGUUAAGGCAAACUCGUAUUAUUAUCUUAUUACUAUCUGUAAGAAAUUUGUAUGAAAACAUAAAUAUGUAAUGAAAUGUUGUUUUGUUUAUUGUUGUA